rnacentral:rRNA from 1 species
GAUCCUGGCUCAGAACGAACGCUGGCGGCAGGCUUAGGCAUGCAAGUCGAACGGAUGACAGAGAGCUUGCUCUCUGAAGUCAGUGGCGCACGAGUGAGUAACGCGUGGGAAACUGCCCUUCACUGGGGAAUAACGUUUGGAAACGAACGCUAAUACCGCAUACGCCCGCAAGGGGAAAGAUUUAUCGGUGAUGGAUGUGCCCGCGUUGGAUUAGCUAGUUGGUGGGGUAAUGGCCUACCAAGGCGAUGAUCCAUAGCUGGUCUGAGAGGACGAUCAGCCACGCUGGAACUGAGACACGGUCCAGACUCCUACGGGAGGCAGCAGCUAAGAAUAUUGGGCAAUGGAGGAAACUCUGACCCAGCCCAUGCCGCGUGAAUGAAGAAGGCCUUCGGGUUGUAAAGUUCUUUUAGUCAUGAAGAUGAUGACAGUAGUGACAGAAAAAGCACCGGCUAACUUCGUGCCAGCCGCUGC